UACGUAGGGGGCAAGCGUUGUCCGGAUUUAUUGGGCGUAAAGCGCGUGUAGGCGGCCUGACAGGUCUGCUGUGAAAACUCGAGGCUCAACCUCGAGAUGUCGGCGGAAACCGUCUGGCUAGAGUCCGGAAGAGGAGAGUGGAAUUCCUGGUGUAGCGGUGAAAUGCGCAGAUAUCAGGAAGAACACCUAUGGCGAAGGCAGCUCUCUGGGACGGUACUGACGCUGAGACGCGAAAGCGUGGGGAGCGAACAGG
rnacentral:rRNA from 1 species